rnacentral:rRNA from 1 species
UACGUAGGGGGCAAGCGUUGUCCGGAUUUAUUGGGCGUAAAGAGCGUGUAGGCGGCCAUACAGGUCAGCUGUGAAAACUCGAGGCUCAACCUCGAGACGUCGGUUGAAAACCGUAUGGCUAGAGUCCGGAAGAGGAGAGUGGAAUUCCCGGUGUAGCGGUGAAAUGCGCAGAUAUCGGGAAGAACACCCGUGGCGAAGGCGGCUCUCUGGGACGGUACUGACGCUGAGACGCGAAAGCGUGGGGAGCGAACAGG